CACACGACUCUCGGCAACGGAUAUCUCGGCUCUCGCAUCGAUGAAGAACGUAGCGAAAUGCGAUACCUGGUGUGAAUUGCAGAAUCCCGCGAACCAUCGAGUCUUUGAACGCAAGUUGCGCCCGAGGCCACUCGGCCGAGGGCACCCCUGCCUGGGCGUCACGC
rnacentral:rRNA from 1 species